UACGUAGGUGGCAAGCGUUGUCCGGAAUUAUUGGGCGUAAAGCGCGCGUAGGCGGCUUUGCAAGUCGGGUGUGAAAUCCCCAGGCUUAACCUGGGAACUGCAUUCGAGACUGCAUUGCUAGAGUAUGGGAGAGGGAAGUGGAAGUUCCGGUGUAGCGGUGAAAUGCGUAGAUAUCGGAAGGAACAUCAGUGGCGAAAGCGACUUCCUGGACCAAUACUGACGCUCAUGUGCGAAAGCGUGGGGAGCAAACAGG
rnacentral:rRNA from 1 species